AAGGGUAUUUAUUUUAUUAAGUAAGAUUGAUUCUGUCUUUGUUUGGUUUGCUAUUAAAUAAUAUUAUAUAUAAAUUUUUGUGUGGUAAUUAUGAUCUUAAGGACACACAUUUUUAUUUGUAGUUUUUAAAAUUGAGUAUUACAUUAAUGUAGACUCAGUUAAUUUAUUUAAGCCCGUUUAAAGUUGUGCCAGCAAACGCGGUUAUACAUCUGGGCUGAGUGAAUCUUUUAGGUUAAUAUUUAUUUUUAUUGUGAAUAUUUUAUUCAAUUUAUUAGGUGAAAUUUUUGAUUUGAAUUAUAUUAUUUUGGUUAAAGAUUAUAUGAAAUUUAGGAUUUAAACUAGGAUUAGAUACCCUAUUAUUCUAAAUGUAAAGUUUUACCUUAGUAUUAAUAGUUAUGGUCUUUAAAUUAAAAGAAUUUGGCGGUAAUUUAGUCUUUUCAGAGGAACCUGUCCUUUAAUCGAUGAUCCACGAUAUAUUUAACUUUGAUUAUGUUUGUAUACCUCUGUCAUUGAACGUUUUAUUAGAAUAUUUUCUUAAAUUAUUUAUUUAGUUAAUGUCAGGUCAAGGUGCAACUAUAUUAAAGGUUGAGAUGGGUUACAUUUAAUGAUAUUUAUUGGACUAUA
rnacentral:rRNA from 1 species